AGUGGCGGACGGGUGAGUAACGCGUGGGUAACCUGCCUCGUACAGGGGGAUAACAGUUAGAAAUGACUGCUAAUACCGCAUGAGCGCACAGUACCGCAUGGUACGGUGUGAAAAACUCCGGUGGUAUGAGAUGGACCCGCGUCUGAUUAGGUAGUUGGUGGGGUAACGGCCUACCAAGCCGACGAUCAGUAGCCGACCUGAGAGGGUGACCGGCCACAUUGGGACUGAGACACGGCCCAA
rnacentral:rRNA from 1 species